ensembl:lncRNA
CCCAGGUCUUCCUUUCUCCCUUUCUUAAAAAUGGGAGUAAUGUUUCCCUUUUUCCAGUCACCGGGGACUUCACCAGACAGCCAUGAUUUUUCAAAUAUGUUGGAGAGCGGCUCGGCAACCACGUCAGCCAUCUCUUUCAGAACCCUAUGAUGGAUAUCAUCCGACCCCAUGGACUUAUAUAUAUAUUAUAUGUUAGAUGGACAUGUGAUAGUGUAAAGCUGAAGACUUGUUGCUGAGGGACUGUUUGUGUUACUGUUCAUUGGUUGUCUUUUGCUUGUUCUGGACUUCACAACACACAGCAGCUGUCACUGCUAGUAACACAUCGGAUUUUUCAUAUGAGGGGAAGGAAGAAGAUUGGGGCUCCAUUUCAUUUAUUUUUCAGUGGUGUUAAAUCAUAGGCUGGUAUCAUCCAGUCCCAGUGUCAGUGCGGUGUGUUGUUAUUGCCAAUGACUAAGAUUUUGCAUGAUAAACAUCUUACUGCCUCACUUCCCUUUUUCCAGGCCUUCCGUGUUCCUCCUUUUUGUCUUAAAUGUCAUCAGAAGGACAUCUGGCAACAUUAAGCACAAAUGUAAAAGGUCCAGAGUGAUGGACUGUUGCUGAGAAGCCUUGUCCUUUUUAGCUGUGGAAGUAAGGAGGUCUCACUUCCAAGCUGAAGAACCUUUGUGAUGACAGUGAAGAGAAGGGAAAGCUACGGUGAUAAAAUGAAGUCUAAAGAUGCUUUUAGAGCCGCUCUGUUUCCAGAAGUGAGAUAGAAGUGCCGAGCUCUGUAGGUCCAAGGUAUUGGAAUAAUAUUUUACUGCUGAAAGAUGCUUAAUCAACUUAAUUUGUUAAUAGGAAGCAUAGCUUUAUUUAUCUUCAAAAAAGAAGCUGUAUGGAAAAAAAAAAAAAGGACUGAAAUUUUUGUUGCAUAAUGGGUUUGCAUGUGUGAUGCUAAUUGAACCCUAGGGGGAUCUGAGUGCCUUGCUUUUCCAAAGUUUGGGAUGUUUUAUCUGUGACUAGUUUCUCUAAGAAUGCAAGACAUGAGGAGUUAUACGCAGUAAGAGAACUCUCUCGCACGCACUUGUGGAGAUGCCCCUUUUGUGAACUGAAGUGCAGUGUUAGGACAUUCUGAUCAGCU